GAUGAACGCUGGCGGCGUGCCUAAUACAUGCAAGUCGAGCGAACAGACGAGGAGCUUGCUCCUCUGACGUUAGCGGCGGACGGGUGAGUAACACGUGGAUAACCUACCUAUAAGACUGGGAAAACUUCGGGAAACCGGAGCUAAUACCGGAUAAUAUAUUGAACCGCAUGGUUCAAUAGUGAAAGACGGUUUUGCUGUCACUUAUAGAUGGAUCCGCGCCGCAUUAGCUAGUUGGUAAGGUAACGGCUUACCAAGGCAACGAUGCGUAGCCGACCUGAGAGGGUGAUCGGCCACACUGGAACUGAGACACGGUCCAGACUCCUGCGGGAGGCAGCAGUAGGGAAUCUGCCGCAAUGGGCGAAAGCCUGGCGGAGCAACGCCGCGUGAGUGAUGAAGGUCUUCGGAUCGUAAAACUCUGUUAUUAGGGAAGAACAAAUGUGUAAGUAACUAUGCACGUCUUGACGGUACCUAAUCAGAAAGCCACGGCUAACUACGUG
rnacentral:rRNA from 1 species